AUUGAACGCUGGCGGAAGGCCUAACACAUGAAAGUCGAACGAGUGGAGGACGGGUGCGUAAUGUCUGGGAAACUGCCCGAUGGAGGGGGAUAACUACUGGAAACGGUAGCUAAUACCGCAUACCAUCGGAUGUGCACAGAUGGUAUUAGAUAGUAGGUGGGGUAACGGCUCACCUAGGCGGGGAUCCCUAGCUGGUCUGAGAGGAUGACCAGCCACACGUGAACGGAGACACGGUCCAGACUCCUACGGGAUGCAUCAGUGGGGAAUAUUGCACAAUGGGCGCAAGCCUGAUGCAGCCAUGCCGCGUGUAUGAAGAAGGCCGUCGGGUUGUAAAGUACUUUCAGCGAGGAGGCGUUACUCGCAGAAGAAGCACCUGCUAACUCCGUGCCAGCAGCCGCGGUAAUUC
rnacentral:rRNA from 1 species